rnacentral:sRNA from 1 species
GCCAGGAGUGGUGGCGCAUGCCUGUAAUCCCAUCUACUUGGGAGGCUGAGACAGGAGAAUCACUUGAACCCAGGAGGUGGAGGUUGCAGUGAGCUGAGAUCCUGCCACUGCCCUCCAGCCUGGGCGACACAGUGAGACUCUGUCUCGAU